rnacentral:rRNA from 1 species
UACGUAGGGGGCUAGCGUUGUCCGGAAUCAUUGGGCGUAAAGCGCGUGUAGGCGGCCCGGUAAGUCCGCUGUGAAAGUCGGGGGCUCAACCCUCGGAUGCCGGUGGAUACUGUCGGGCUCGAGUACGGAAGAGGCGAGUGGAAUCCUGGUGUAGCGGGUGAAAUGCGUAGAUAUUGACUCGGAAGGCCGGAGCCGAAGGGGCCCCACG